AAUGCAGACAUAAAAAGCUUGAGAUUGGUUCGUGCUGAAAAAUGGAUUCACUUUCAAGGCUUGGUGACUUUUGCCUUUACAUCAUUCCCAUUACCUAUUUAUUUUUCAGAUUGUGAAGGAGACUUGGGUACGGGCUGGACGGUGUGUUAGGGAUUUCACUCUCUACACUGGCUCCCUUGGGACAGCAUUCUUACUUUUCAAAGCAUAUGAAGUCACCAAGAACAAGAAUGAUCUCAAUCUCUGCAUUGAAAUUGUGAGGGCUUGUGAUACUGCUUCACGAGAAUCAAGACAUGUGACAUUCAUCUGUGGUCAGGCUGGUGUGUGCGCCCUUAGUGCCGUGGCUGCAAAGAACGCUGGGGAUCAUGCACUGCUCAACCACUACCUAUCCCAGUUCAAAGCGGUAAUGCUUUGAAAAUUUGUUGGCUAGAAAGUUAGUAAUGGUUGUCUUCUUGAGCCGAAAAAGAUAUUUAUGCGAUGUACUACCUCAUUUGGCCAUCACUUCUCUUGGGGGUUUCUGGACUGUGUAUGAAUUGCCACUUCAUAGGGUAUGGUCGUGAAGGAAAUCAUCAAGGAUGGAAUACGAUUAGCCAACAAGGGUAGUUGCCCAUUGAUGUACGUAGCAUUUAUUUCGGUCCAAUAAAGUCAAUUCAUCAUAA